rnacentral:rRNA from 1 species
AGAGUUUGAUCCUGGCUCAGAACGAACGCUGGCGGUGUGCAUAACACAUGCAAGUCGCACGAGAAAGGGGCUUCGGCCCUGAGUACAGUGGCGAACGGGUGAGUAAUACGUGGGUAACCUACCCUUGAGAGAGGGAUAACCCGCCGAAAGGUGGGCUAAUACCUCAUACGCUUCUCUUUCUUCGGGAAGAGAGGGAAAGUUGCAUCAAAUGGUGUGGCGCUCGAGGAUGGGCUCACGUCCUAUCAGCUUGUUGGUAGGGUAAUGGCCUACCAAGGCGGCGACGGGUAGCUGGUCUGAGAGGAUGGUCAGCCACACUGGCACUGAGACACGGGCCAGACUCCUACGGGAGGCAGC